CCUGCUCCAUGAGACUUUAAAUAGCCGCAAUUUCGUGCUAAGGUAGCAUAAUAACUUGUUUCUUAAAUAGAAAAUAGAAUGAAAGGAUAAACGUUUAUAAUCUUUUUUAAAAAUAAAAAUUUAAAUUAAACUAAAAAUAAAAAUAUUUUUAUAAAAUAAUGGGACAACAAGACCCUAAUGAACUUAUCUUAAAGAUUUACUGGGGAAGUAAUUUAAAUAAAAUUUAAUAAAAUUUAAUAAUAAAAGCAAAAAUUGAAUUUAACUAAAGUUACCAUAGGGAUAACAGCGUAAUUUAUAUCUGAAGUUCAUAUAAAAAUAUAAUAUUGCGACCUCGAUGUUGAAUUAAUAUAUCUUUUAUAAGUAUCCAUAUAAAAAGUAAGUCUGUUCGACUUUUAAUAUAUUACAU
rnacentral:rRNA from 1 species